CCACCAGCACCCAUACCCCCUGGGCAGCGUACCCUCCUUCAGCCACUGGCCCUACGACUGCAUUGAGGAGGACGAGCUGGAGCAAGACGCGGGCAGCCAGCCUUCUAUGAUCACAGAGAGCUCGGGGAGACGUCGUCCCAGUGUACCUCCAGUGACAAUGUGACGGGUCUGAACAGCCUCACCAUCCCCAUCCCAGGCCACGGCCGCCCCAACAUCAUCAUCGAUGCCUUACCCAGCGACUCCACUUCCUCCUUCCUGUGUUCGUCCACGCCUCCCGGCUCCUCCCACCCUCAGAUGGCCCCUCCCCAGCCCUGUUCCCUAAGGACCAGGUCCUCCAAGCCCAGGGCAGCACCUUCAUCACAGCAAGCAAGACCUCUCAUAUUACAAUAGGCCUCUCUACAGUGGUCUGACUCACAGAGAGAGAGAGGGCUGUUUAGCUCACUGUGAGGCCACUGCACUGAGAACUGGUGUUACGGAGGAUCAGUAUGGACUUGUGAGUGAGGAAGCUAUCCUGUUAAGCAUGCUCAGUGACGCCUGUAACACUGGGCACUCUACUGUGUCUCUACUGUGUCUCUACUGGACUCUACUGGACUACUGGUCUCCACUCUGUCUCCACUGGACUCUACUGGACUCUACUGUGUCUUCACUGUGUCUCUACUGGACUCUACUGCACUAGUGGUCUCCACUCUGUCUCCACUGGACUCUACUGGACUCUACUGUGUCUUCACUGUGUCUCUACUGGACUCUACUGCACUACUGGUCUCCACUCUGUCUCCACUGGACUCUACUGGACUCUACUGUGUCUUCACUGUGUCUCUACUGGACUCUACUGCACUACUGGUCUCCACUCUGUCUCCACUGGACUCUACUGGUCUCUACUGUGCCUCCACUGGACUCUACUGGACUACUGGUCUCCACUCUGUCUCCACUGGACUCUACUGGACUACUGGUCUCCACUCUGUCUCUACUGGUCUCUACUGUGUCUCUACUGGACUCUACUGGUCUCUACUGGUAUCUACUGUGUCUCUACUGGUCUCUACUGGACUCUACUGGACUACUGGUCUCCACUCUGUUUCUACUGGACUCUACUGGUCUCUACUGGACUCUACCGGUCUCUACCGGUCUCUACUGGACUCUACUGGACUCUACUGAUCUCUACGGGACUACUGGUCUCCACUCUGUCUCCACUGGACUCUACUGGACUCUACUGUGUCUCUACUGGACUCUACUGGACUCUACUGUGUCUCGACUAGACUCUACUGGACUCUACUGUGUCUUUACUGGACUCUACUGGACUCUACUGUGUCUCUACUGUGUCUCUACUGGACUCUACUGUGUCUUUACUGGACUCUACUGGUCUCUACUGGACUCUACUGGACUCUACUGUGUCUCUGCUGGACUCUACUGGACUCUAGUGUGUCUCUACUGUGUCUCUACUGUGUCUCUACUGGACUCUACUGGACUCUACUGGUCUCUAUUGGACUCUACUGUGUCUCUACUGUGUCUCUACUGGACUCUACUGUGUCUUUACUGGACUCUACUGGUCUCUACUGGACUCUAGUGUGUCUCUACUGUGUCUCUACUGGACUCUACUGGACUCUACUGUGUCUCUACUGGGCUCUACUGGACUCUACUGGUCUCUAUUGGACUCUACUGUGUCUCUACUGGACUCUACUGGACUCUACUGGAUUCUGAAAACAACAGACACACAACAGACCACUCUGACAACAGACAUAUAAUAGACCAUUCUGACAACAACAGACCACUCUGACAACAACAGACGCACAACUGACCACUCGGACAACAACAGACACACAACAGACCACUCUGACAACAACAGACCACUCUGACAACAACAGACCACUCUGACGACAAAAGACCACUCUGACAACAACAGACCACUCUGACAACAACAGACCACUCUGACGACAAAAGACCACUCUGACGACAAAAGACCACUCUGACAACAACAGACCACUCUGACGACAACAGACCACUCUGACGACAAUAGACCACUCGGACAACAACAGACCACUCUGAAAACAACAGACACACAACAGACCACUCUGACAACAACAGACCACUCUGACAACAACAGACCACUCUGACAACAACAGACCACUCUGACAACAACAGACCACUCUGACGACAAAAGACCACUCUGACAACAACAGACCACUCUGACAACAACAGACCACUCUGACGACAAAAGACCACUCUGACAACAACAGACCACUCUGACAACAACAGACCACUCUGACGACAAAAGACCACUCUGACAACAACAGACACACAACAAACCCUCGCCCCUUGAGACUGAUGGCCUUUGGCAUUUCAUAACGAUGAGUGAAAAUUUGACAUUGCUAUGUAUGCAGUACUUAAAGAAAUAGUUUCACAAAUGCUGGUACGUCAUGUUCUGACUGUAUAUGUGUUUUAAUGAACUAGAUAUGUAUCACUGUUUAUAAUGUAGAAGAGUUGUUGUUUUAUUAAGUCUUAUUGAAGGAAGCAAACAGAUGGAAAGUACUCAGCAGACAGCCAGACAGACGCUAGUGGGGAUUCACUACCAGCUAUUCUGUUGAUUAACGCCUCGGUCACACCGACGGUGACAUUGCAUUGUGGUACACCAGAAGUACAUUCAUUUCCAAUGGAACGCUGCGUUUGUCUUGCAGCAUUGCGUUACAGAGGCAGUUGCAGUGCGUUCUGUGUGGUGCAUAUGUUGGAUUUAUAGAACUUAAUCAAACUUAUGAGUCAAACUGUGUGUGUAGACGGCUUGACAGAAACGGUAGCAGAAAGGUGAAUGUUAAACUUUUGUUUCACACAUAUCCAGAUGAUGCUGCGUAACAUUUUGCACAAUGACGCUGUCGGUGUGACCGAGGCGUCAGAAUCAGCGACAUUUCCCUGUCUCUCUGGCUUUUCUUAUCGUUACCAGUACAAUGUGUCUCUCUGUACAGAGUAUUAAACAGGAUAUUAAAACGCUCUUUGAUUUUUAGCACCACAGCUACAUCUGACAUGAUAUUACUUCAGCUUUUCCCCCACUGCCCUAAUAUGGAAAUGAUUUUUACUCAAACAACAAUUACACUGUUACAAGCGAGCAAGGCAAAGCACUCUCUCUGGAUAAC
rnacentral:lncRNA from 1 species